UACAGAGGGGGCAAGCGUUGUUCGGAAUUACUGGGCGUAAAGGGCGCGUAGGCGGCCCGCUAAGUCGAACGUGAAAUCCCCGAGCUCAACUCGGGAACUGCGUCCGAUACUGGCGGGCUUGAAUCCGGGAGAGGGAUGCGGAAUUCCAGGUGUAGCGGUGAAAUGCGUAGAUAUCUGGAGGAACACCGGUGGCGAAGGCAGCUCGCUGGGACGGUACUGACGCUGAGGCGCGAAAGCGUGGGGAGCA
rnacentral:rRNA from 1 species